GGGGGGGGGGGGGGGGGGGGGGGGGGGGGGGGGGGGGGGGGGGGGGGGGGGGAGGGUGGGGCUGGGAUGGUAGCGGCGGACGGGGGAGGAACACGGGGAUAACCUACCUAUAAGACUGGGAUAACUUCGGGAAACCGGAGCUAAUACCGGAUAAUAUUUUGAACCGCAUGGUUCAAAAGUGAAAGACGGUCUUGCUGGCACUUAUAGAUGGAUCCGCGCUGCAUUAGCUAGUUGGUAAGGUAACGGCUUACCAAGGCAACGAUGCAUAGCCGACCUGAGAGGGUGAUCGGCCACACUGGAACUGAGACACGGUCCAGACUCCUACGGGAGGCAGCAGUAGGGAAUCUUCCGCAAUGGGCGAAAGCCUGACGGAGCAACGCCGCGUGAGUGAUGAAGGUCUUCGGAUCGUAAAACUCUGUUAUUAGGGAAGAACAUAUGUGUAAGUAACUGUGCACAUCUUGACGGUACCUAAUCAGAAAGCCACGGCUAACUACGUG
rnacentral:rRNA from 1 species